GGCUCUAUAGUGUAGUGGUUAUCACGCAUCCUUUACACGGAUGAGAUGUGGGUUCAAUUCCCGCUAGGGCUA
rnacentral:tRNA from 1 species